rnacentral:rRNA from 1 species
AAAUUUGAAAUCUGGCGCAAGCCCGAGUUGUAAUUUGUAGAGGAUGCUUCUGGCCAGCGGCCGUUCUAAGUUCCUUGGAACAGGACGUCAUAGAGGGUGAGAAUCCCGUAUGUGACCGGCGCGCAGCCUUUACGUAGCUCCUUCGACGAGUCGAGUUGUUUGGGAAUGCAGCUCUAAAUGGGAGGUAAAUUUCUUCUAAAGCUAAAUACCGGCCAGAGACCGAUAGCGCACAAGUAGAGUGAUCGAAAGAUGAAAAGCACUUUGGAAAGAGAGUUAAAAAGCACGUGAAAUUGUUGAAAGGGAAGCGCUUGCAACCAGACUUCGUAGCGAUGUUCCGCUGGUCUUCUGACCGGUCUACUCAUCGUCGCGAGGCCAACAUCGUCUGGGCCCGCUGGAUAAGACCUAAGGAAUGUAGCUUCUCUUCGGGGAAGUGUUAUAGCCUGUGGUGAUGCAGUGUGGCUCGGGCGAGGUCCGCGCUUCGGCAAGGAUGUUGGCGUAAUGGUUGUCAGCGGCCCGUCUUGAAACACGGACCAAGGAGUCUAACAUCUAUGCGAGUGUUCGGGUGUCAAACCCCUACGCGUAAUGAAAGUGAACGGAGGUGGGAAGCGCAAGCUGCACCAUCGACCGAUCCUGAUGUCCUCGGAUGGAUUUGAGUAAGAGCAUAGCUGUUGGGACCCGAAAGAUGGUGAACUAUGCCUGAAUAGGGUGAAGCCAGAGGAAACUCUGG